AAUAAGUACAGACAUGAGUUUCCAUGUCCAAUUUUGAUCGUCUGUCUUAUUUGAAUUCCUUUUAUGAUUAGUAUUUUUAUUGUUAUCAGAUUAUAAAACAUUAGUAGUACUUUAUGUGUAACUUAUGUUUUUUAGUUUUUUCAAAAAAAAUUAAAAUAAGACGGACGGUCAAAGUUGGACACGAAAACUCAUGGCUGCGCUUAUU
rfam:Oryza nivara chromosome 6, whole genome shotgun sequence.